rnacentral:rRNA from 1 species
UACGAAGGGGGCUAGCGUUGUUCGGAUUUACUGGGCGUAAAGCGCACGUAGGCGGAUCUUUAAGUCAGAGGUGAAAUCCCAAGGCUCAACCUUGGAACUGCCUUUGAUACUGGGGAUCUUGAGUCCGGGAGAGGUGAGUGGAACUGCGAGUGUAGAGGUGAAAUUCGUAGAUAUUCGCAAGAACACCAGUGGCGAAGGCGGCUCACUGGCCCGGUACUGACGCUGAGGUGCGAAAGCGUGGGAAGCAAACAGG